rnacentral:rRNA from 2 species
CUUGUGCAAUAAACGAAAGUAUGACACAGAGAGGACACAUUUAAUUGAGCCCGUCAAAUUAAGUGCCAGCCGACGCGGUUAAACUUAAGGGCUGGUCUUUAUAAGUAAAAAGGCGUAAAGGAUGUGUAGGCCAAGAAACAAUCAAAGUAGGUAAAUGGAAUUUUUCUGGAGCGGUAGAAUGUGAGGAUAGAAAAUAGAACCCCUAAGGUAAAAACUAUUUACCACAAGGUAGGCUGAAACAUGAGAGUGUGGGGAGCAAACAGGAUUAGAGACCCUGGUAGUCCACACUGUAAACUUUGAAGAUGAUGCUUAGCAGACCCGAAAGGUAAAAUCUUCCGCCUGAGUAGUACGAUCGCAAGAUUAAAAUUCAAAAACUUUGGCUGUUCACUAUUUCGAUUAGAGGAGCGUGUAGUUUAAUUCGAUGGUCCGCGUGUUACCUUACCCCAACUUGAAUCUGUGACCGGUAUUGCAUGGCCGUCGUAAGUUCGUGUAUUAAGCUAGAAGGGACCCAACCCGGGCAUUUGCCCGGAGGAAGUCAGGUCUUAUGAUCCGAAUGUUGGGGGAUUUUAUGCGCUACAUUUUCUUAUAUAAUGGGAAACCUGAAAGGUGAGCCUCUAAAGUAAGAGUUCGGAAGGUCGCUGUAAGACGACUGGAAGUUGGAUUUAAUAGUAAUCGGAAAGUAGGGCGUUCCGGUGAAUUGGUACAAGUGUUAGCACAAAUUGCCCGUCACCUUUACCUAGAAUGGUUAUUCGG